rnacentral:rRNA from 1 species
UACGUAGGGGGCUAGCGUUGUCCGGAAUCAUUGGGCGUAAAGCGCGUGUAGGCGGUCCGGUAAGUCAGCUGUGAAAGUCAAGGGCUCAACCCUUGAAAGCCGGUUGAUACUGUCGGGCUAGAGUCCGGAAGAGGCGAGUGGAAUUCCCGGUGUAGCGGUGAAAUGCGCAGAUAUCGGGAGGAACACCAAUGGCGAAGGCAGCUCGCUGGGACGGUACUGACGCUGAGACGCGAAAGCGUGGGGAGCAA